AGGGUAUCGGUAAAAUGAGUUGAUCCUAUGUGGACUAACGAUAGCGAAGGCACCUUACGAGUACGGAUCUGACAGUCAGAGAUGAAGGCUAGGGUCGCGAAACGGAUUAGAUACCCGUGUAGUCCUAGCAGUAAACACUGCACACUAAACAUCAGUAUCUCUUCGAGAGGCAUUGGUGCUGUAGGGAAGCCGUAGAGUGUGCUACCUGGGAAGUAUAGUCGCAAGGCCGAAACUUAAAGGAAUUGGCGGGGGGGCACUACAACGGGUGACGCGUGCGGUUCAAUUAGAUUCUACACCGUGAACCUCACCAGGAGCGACAGCAGAAUGAAGGUCAGUCUGAAGGGCUUACCUGACACGCUGAGAGGAGUUGCAUGGCCGACGUCAGCCUGUGUCGUGAGAUGACCUGUUAAAUCAGGUAACAGGCGAGACCCAUGUAUAUAGUUACUUCAUAGAAGCUCACUAUAUAGACUGCCGUGGUAACACGGAGGAAGGUAUGGGCUACGUUAGGUGAGUACUGCCCGAAUCCCCUGGGCUACACGCGCGCGUCAAUGCUGCAUUCAAAUGGAUGCUACUCCGAAAGGAGACGCUAAUCCCCUAAUAUCCAGCUUAGUUUAGAUUGAGGUUUGCAACCCAGCCUCAUGACACCGGAAUCCGUAGUAAUCGCUUAUUAGCAAUGAGCGGUGAAUAUGUCCCUGCCCCUUGCACACACUGCCCGUCAAACCAACCGAGUUUUGCAUUGUAGAGACCCGUUUGGAGCAAUACUU
rnacentral:rRNA from 1 species